rnacentral:lncRNA from 1 species
CCUAUAUAAACUAUAUAAACCUUAAAUAUUUUUGGUAACACAAAUAAAGCUGUUUUUGUAAGCCUUCUUGUCAUACUAUAUAUUAAGUUUCACUUUUUUCUUGACUAAAAUAAUCAUUUUCAAAUAUAUCUUUUAAUGUGCUUUCAAGUAAAACAAAGGUCAAGAAAUUAAUGUUUUACCUCAGUGCCAGCAUUACAAUUAUCGUUAACAUAAAAAUAAGAAAAACAAAUAUCAUUAAUCAUUAAUACAAAGUCUUUUAAUAAUCUUUUAAAAUAUAUGAGUCAUUUCCCUUUGAACAGAAAUGGAUUAAUUCAUCAAAAAUUUAAUUCUUAGGUAAGGGCUAAAACUGAACAACAAGAAAAGCUAAAAUUGUGAAAAUUGAACUUGACCUUCAUUUAGUCACAGGAAAAAAACAUAUCUAAAUUUGAAAAAAAAUCUUCAAAGUGUAUUCAUGUAAAUGAACAGACAAUAUUUGUUAUUUAUCAAUAUACUUGGGUAUAAAAGAUUGCAUAACAUGAUUGAUAUCUAAAUCACCCAAUGUGUAUCACUACCCUUCACAGUUUACACAAAACAUUUCAGUGAAGUGAUCAUUAUAGAGAUCCUAUUCAGUCAAACUCAUUUUUUUAUGUUAUGUUAUACUUUGAUAUACAAGUUACAAAAUGACAUGUAUUUGAGUUACCAUUCUUAUCAAGAAAACAUUGUUUUAUUAAAUAUUACAUAAGUAAUGCAUGGUGUAUUAACCUGUUAUAAAAAUAGGUUCAACAACAAAUGUACAAUCAUGAACAAAGGAAGACAACUCCAUUUCAAAUGUUUAAUUUGACCAGCAAAAUACAAUUUAAAGUUUUAUCUAAAAAUAAAAAAAAACAUUGGUUGAACUGAUCAUGUUAUUUACUACAUUUAUAUGACAUCAAUUGCCACAAGUCAAUUAUGAAAUCUUAUCCAGUUAAUAACAACACAAGCCUGUCAAUUUUUUCAUUUCAGGAUAAUAACUCCUAUAAACAUGAUAAAUAGUAAAAUUGAUGACUUUAAACUACAGUAUAUUUUGUUAUUGGCAAUGUAGCUCUACAUGUUUUUAUUACAUUUUCAAGGUAAUAUUAAAAACAAAUGGCCAGAAACAUUAUUAUUAAAGACAUUUGUUUUUUUUUCAAUGCAAAAACAAAUAAAAAAAUAUCAGUGACUAUUUUCCAUGUUUUCUUUUUUCUCUACUAAAUAUACCUUUAUUGCACUUUUCUUUGCUGUAAUGACAACUUACUUGAACUACAACAGUUGACCAAGUAUCCCUGUGGAUUAGUCACUGGAUAACCAGGGAAAUUAUCCAUUGAAUUCAUAUUUAUAAAUAGUUACUUUUACAAACCAUAAUUAAUGCACAAGUUUUUGGAAUACAUAUAUAUAUAUAUAAAAUAACAUGAUUACACAAAUUGUUCAGUUUUCUUCCCUUUUGAUUCCAAGUACUAGUUAUGUUCAUUGACCAUACCCUUUUAAAGAAUUGUUAAGUUAUUCUGUAGAGGAUUUGACUAGUUGACUACUCUCACAAACACCUUGAAUUUCAAUUAUUGUGAGUGACUGGUAAGUCUUGAUAUCUACAAAAGUUAGUUUAUAUAUUUUGACCAAUCUGUUAUAAGAUAAUAAAAGAAGAGUUCAAAUGUCCCUCCUGUUUCACAUAUUUUAUCUAUCCAAAGUAUAAAGGCGCUUUUUUUUGUUUCAUUAAAGCUUUUUAUUAAUAUCUGAGGUGUAUAAAGAGUCCAUAGCAAAUGCAAUGUGAUUUCCAUUAUAAAUAACAUUUCCAACGGGUAUAACCAUUAAACAAAUUUGACCCGCACUUAUUUUCAAAAUUCUCAAAACAUUGCUAAUAUAAACCUAUGAUAUUAGUUUCAUAAAAUUUUGGCAAUAACUGAACACAUGAGAGUGCUGACAAUCCAGUUUUCCAUAUAAUCAAUAUUUCCAAGGGGUAAACUCUCAAAAAUAAUUGAUCAGCCCUAAUUUUUAAACUCAUAAAAGACAUUGCUGAUACAAACCUAGGAUAUAAUUUUUCAUAAAAAUCUGACAAGAACUGAGCACACCAGAGCGCUAACGAUACAAUUUUCCAUUUAAUUAAUGUUUCCAAGGGACAUAAUUCUUUUAAAAUCAAUUGAUCAGCAUAAAAAUCUAGCAAGAAUUGUGAACAUUACAGCGCUAACAAUGGACAGACAAUGAAUGGAUGGACGGACACCCAGUAUUUUUGUAUCCCCUGCAACGGUUUGCCGAGGUGUCCAUAAGCAUAUUAAGUUCGAAAAAAACUACUGUACAUUGGUUUUCAGUAAGCAUGACGUUUCAAUUGUUAACCAAGUGCAUAAUUCAAUUAAAUACAUACAAGAUGAAAUUAUAUGAUUAAGGAAUUGCUGAAAAAUAGUAGAUAGUUUUUUAUCAUCAUGUGUAUACAAACAUAUACAUGUAUAAUAAUGCUGCAUUCUAUUUUUCAUUUCUAACAAUUUAAAUCAAUAAAAUACUUUUCAAGACUAGAUUUUAAAGAAGGAGAAUAACUCAACAUAAACUAUUAACGUACAUGAUAUGUUUUGAACUGUUUAACAA